rnacentral:piRNA from 1 species
AAACAGUGGUUACAGGGGGCUCAGAU